GUGCCAGCAGCCGCGGUAAUACGUAGGGUGCAAGCGUUAUCCGGAAUUAUUGGGCGUAAAGGGCUCGUAGGCGGUUCGUCGCGUCCGGUGUGAAAGUCCAUCGCUUAACGGUGGAUCCGCGCCGGGUACGGGCGGGCUUGAGUGCGGUAGGGGAGACUGGAAUUCCCGGUGUAACGGUGGAAUGUGUAGAUAUCGGGAAGAACACCAAUGGCGAAGGCAGGUCUCUGGGCCGUCACUGACGCUGAGGAGCGAAAGCGUGGGGAGCGAACAGGAUUAGAUACCCUGGUAGUCCACGCCGUAAACGGUGGAUGCUGGAUGUGGGGACCAUUCCACGGUCUCCGUGUCGGAGCCAACGCGUUAAGCAUCCCGCCUGGGGAGUACGGCCGCAAGGCUAAAACUCAAAGAAAUUGACGGGGGCCCGCACAAGCGGCGGAGCAUGCGGAUUAAUUCGAUGCAACGCGAAGAACCUUACCUGGGCUUGACAUGUUCCCGACAGCCGUAGAGAUACGGUCUCCCUUCGGGGCGGGUUCACAGGUGGUGCAUGGUCGUCGUCAGCUCGUGUCGUGAGAUGUUGGGUUAAGUCCCGCAACGAGCGCAACCCCCGCCCUGUGUUGCCAGCACGUCGUGGUGGGAACUCACGGGGGACCGCCGGGGUCAACUCGGAGGAAGGUGGGGAUGACGUCAGAUCAUCAUGCCCCUUACGUCCAGGGCUUCACGCAUGCUACAAUGGCCGGUACAACGGGAUGCGACACCGCGAGGUGGAGCGGAUCCCUUAAAACCGGUCUCAGUUCGGAUUGGAGUCUGCAACCCGACUCCAUGAAGGCGGAGUCGCUAGUAAUCGCGGAUCAGCAACGCCGCGGUGAAUGCGUUCCCGGGCCUUGUACACACCGCCCGUC
rnacentral:rRNA from 1 species